ACUCCGGCCCAAAAAAAUUUGUAGGAGCUCGAUUGACACACCUAUUUAUAUUGUUCUUUUAAUCUUCUGGAGGAAUCUAGAUGAGAUUUGAAGAUAUUUUUAAUGCUAACCACUUUAAUUAAAACAAAAACAAUAUGGAAAGGAGGGAAAGGAAGGGAAAAAAUGGAGGGAAGAGCUGAAGGCGGCAAAUCAAUUCUAAUAUCCGAAAUAGACUUUCUCUUUCUAACUCUUUAAUUUUCUCUGUCUAAAGUUGUCUGAUUCAAUCAAUUUCAGUUUGUAGAGGAUGUGUACACUCCCUUGGGCAUAUGCCAUAUGCCAAAACUUGGUGUCAAAACUGGUGGGCCCAUCUACAUGCAGCUUGAUAAAUCUACUAUGUCAUGAACUAUUCAUUAUGAUGUGGAUGUCCAAAAGAUUUUAAAGGACAUUGACAUGGAGUCAUUAUCAAUGUCAUUGUUGGAAAGUUAGAUUUGAAGUGAAGUUAUGGUUCAUCUGAGAAACCUCCUAGAUGGAAGCACUUCCUUAAAACUAACAACUUGUUGCAAGUUUGGAACUUAUGGAACAAUAAAUGUUCCAAAGUAAACAGUACGCCUUGGCAGAUUCCAUACCCAUUCUCUUGGAACAUGGAUUGGAUUGAGGCUAGACUCAUGAUCUGCAAACAUCUGCAUGUAUUCACAAUUAACCGGUUAGUUGAAUGGAUUGAUUCAUAAAGGAGUCUGAGGUACAUGAGUUGUGCCACAUUAUCAUACAACAACAUAAUAAAAAUGUAUUACGUGUGUAGAUUAGUUAGUAAUAAAUCCAUACAUGACAGGUUUAUAUUCUGCUAAGUAAAAAUGAUAGGGCACAAUGAAUGUACCCUCGAGUAUUAUAUUGUAACAGUAAACACACUAUUUCAAAGUGCAUGGGUGAGGUAUGGUACAAGGUUUGGCUGGUGAUUCUUCCAAGGGAUGAGGAGUUAGUAGAUGGCCAUUUUUUGUAUUUACCUCAUUAACUUGAAAGUAUGUUCCAUUGAGUGGGAAGCUUCCUCUCAUUGCUGUUCUACAAGGUAUCUGAACACGAGAAUCAAGGUUUAAUCAUGCUAUUUUUGGCUUAUUGUAUGUACCAUUAAAUCAUAAAACAGUUUUUUACCAGAAGAGUUCCCCUGACUGUUUGUGAAUUGGCUUCUCUCAUACUAUUACAUGAAAAGCAUGUCAUCUCAUUGCAUAACUUUCCUGAUUCUUGUGACCCACAGUUUUUUCCAGGUGGCUGAAUUGAAUCGGCAGUUUCACCUAAUGACACAUGUUGCAGCAGCAAAAGUUAGCACUCAAACAUAAUGCAAUAUAGUAGCCAUUAGUACUCAAAGAUCUUGCAAUAUGUUUACAAGGCGCCAACGGCGACUCACGUUCUUGAGUUUGGGAGCAGGAAUUGAAGCAGCGUCCGGGUCUAAAGCAACUAGAGCCUUAGACAUGUCACCUUCUUGAAG